rnacentral:SRP_RNA from 1 species
UGCCGGUCUUCCCACGCUGUUUCUGCCGUGAACCCCGUCAGGCCCGGAAGGGAGCAGCGGCAGCGGCAGGCGCAGGCGCUGGGGUCGGGCUGGUGAAG